rnacentral:rRNA from 1 species
AGAGUUUGAUCCUGGCUCAGGACGAACGCUGGCGGCGUGCCUAAUACAUGCAAGUCGAGCGAGCUGAAUUCAAAGAUCCCUUCGGGGUGAUUUGUUGGACGCUAGCGGCGGAUGGGUGAGUAACACGUGGGCAAUCUGCCCUAAAGACUGGGAUACCACUUGGAAACAGGUGCUAAUACCGGAUAACAACAUGAAUCGCAUGAUUCAAGUUUGAAAGGCGGCGUAAGCUGUCACUUUAGGAUGAGCCCGCGGCGCAUUAGCUAGUUGGUGGGGUAAAGGCCUACCAAGGCAAUGAUGCGUAGCCGAGUUGAGAGACUGAUCGGCCACAUUGGGACUGAGACACGGCCCAAACUCCUACGGGAGGCAGCAGUAGGGAAUCUUCCACAAUGGACGCAAGUCUGAUGGAGCAACGCCGCGUGAGUGAAGAAGGUUUUCGGAUCGUAAAGCUCUGUUGUAAGUCAAGAACGGGUGUGAGAGUGGAAAGUUCACACUGUGACGGUAGCUUACCAGAAAGGGACGGCUAACUACGUGCCAGCAGCCGCGGUAAUACGUAGGUCCCGAGCGUUGUCCGGAUUUAUUGGGCGUAAAGCGAGCGCAGGCGGUUUGAUAAGUCUGAAGUUAAAGGCUGUGGCUCAACCAUAGUUCGCUUUGGAAACUGUCAAACUUGAGUGCAGAAGGGGAGAGUGGAAUUCCAUGUGUAGCGGUGAAAUGCGUAGAUAUAUGGAGGAACACCGGUGGCGAAAGCGGCUCUCUGGUCUGUAACUGACGCUGAGGCUCGAAAGCGUGGGGAGCGAACAGGAUUAGAUACCCUGGUAGUCCACGCCGUAAACGAUGAGUGCUAGGUGUUGGAUCCUUUCCGGGAUUCAGUGCCGCAGCUAACGCAUUAAGCACUCCGCCUGGGGAGUACGACCGCAAGGUUGAAACUCAAAGGAAUUGAC